rnacentral:rRNA from 1 species
UACGUAGGGUGCAGGCGUUAAUCGGAAUUACUGGGCGUAAAGUGUGCGCAGGCGGCCGCGCAAGUCGAGUGUGAAAGCCCCGGGCUUAACUUGGGAAUUGCGCUCGAAACUACGUGGCUAGAGUGUGGCAGAGGGAGGUGGAAUUCCACGUGUAGCGGUGAAAUGCGUAGAGAUGUGGAGGAACACCGAUGGCGAAGGCAGCCUCCUGGGCCAACACUGACGCUCAUGCACGAAAGCGUGGGGAGCAAACAGG